UAUAUAUAUAUAUAUAUAUAUAUAUAUAUAUAUAUAUAUAUAUAUAUAUUCUUUCCUCUUCCACCUCCCCUCCCCUCCAUACAAUCUUUUUUUUUUUAGAUAUUUAAAAUACAACUUUAUUCUGAUUCUAAACGAAAAGGAAUGGGAAUGACAGUGACAAACGAGAUUUCACCACUGGAUAUUGUGAUGGGACUGUAGCAGUCUCAUUAUCUGAAACUCAGGAAGGAAACAACUGUGUUCCAAAACAGCUAAGUAUGCAGGUCCAAAAAAAUGAAGGUACUGAUUAAACUGCCACAUUCACUCCGAAGCCCAUUCAUCUCCUUCAGCAUCCCAAAGAUUAAGCACAUGUUCUGCUCAGCUAUAUAAUAAAAGUGGCAAACACGCUGCACCACUGACAUCACAGGACAGUUGCCUAUAAAACUAGACUUCUGACGCUGGCCUCCAGCUGCACUUCUCACAGGUCAUCAUCCCCAUCCGGGAGCGCGGUUGUCUGAGCAACCUCUAGAUCGUGCUGGUACUGUGCUGCCAGAGCUGGAUCCAUGACCACCUCUGGGGGGGCAAGAGCAGGCAUGGCGACAAACUCCAGGUUAGGGUUCCAAUUAGUUUUCUAGCAAGCCACAGGAACGGCUUCUCAAAAUUGUAGUUACUUUUGGCAGAAAUGUCAUAGUACUGAAGGUUCUUCUUUCGGUGGAAGACAAUAGAUUUUGCCUUAACUUUCCUGUCCUUAAUAUGCACUUUAUUGCCACACAGCACAAUGGAGACGUUCUCACACACUCGUACCAGAUCUCUAUGCCAGUUAGGCACAUUCUUGUAAGUAACCCUUGACGUUACAUCAAACAUCAUAAUGGCACACUGGGCUUGGAUAUAGUAGCCGUCCCAGAGCCCGCCGAACUUCUCCUGGCCGGCAGUGUCCCACACGUGGAACUUGAUGGGGCCCCUGUUGGUGUGGAACACGAGUGGGUGGACUUCCACGCCCAGAGUGGCUACAUACUUCUCGAAUUCACCCAUCAGAGAACCUCAGCCAGCAAGUCUUCGAGUGCUCCUUCCUAUAGCAGAUGGUCCAGUCCACAGCCACAUCAGAAUGAGAAGAGCAAGAGGUGAAGGAAUACGGGGAUGAAGACAAUGAGGAAGAGGAGCAGAAGGAGCAAGAAGAAGAGAAGGAGAAAGAAGAGGAGAAAUCUGUCAAUACAGACUAUAUAAUUUAAAUACAAAAUUUUAAAAAGGAUAUAAUUUAUGUUAAUAAUUUAAAAAUAAUGGGCAAAAGAAUUACAGCCAAGUAAUUUGGUAUUUGUUGUAGAUCUUUUAUAGUGAUGAGUUUCAUAAUAUAUUUUUAUCUAAGUGAGUUUGGUGAGUUUACUCUUAAACUCAAGGUCUGAAAUUUCUCACAUAUAAGUUUGGAAGUUUGGAAUAGACCUGGUUCUAAAAUGAUGCAACCCUUUGAUUCUCUACAAAUCUUCCAGGCUUGAUAUAGUGAAAAGACUCUUUUACUUGGUCAUUAAAUUCACCUAAAGAAUGUAAUUAUUUUGCUAAUGUCAGAAUGAGUAAAAGAGUGUUCCUCUUUUUUCAUAUCUUGUGAUUAGCACUGUUGACAUCCCAGUUUCUUAUGUAGAAGAUAUGACAUUUAUCCUUAUCACCUUUAUCUAUCUCUCUCAUUCCAAUACCUAACUUAUCACACAAACUGGUAAAUUUGAAUGCAAAUUAUGUUUUAACUAUCCUCUCACUUUUAAAGAGCUUCCACAAUCUCUACCCAAAAUCCAAACCACUCUCUUGCUAGAUUUUGGCAACUGUCUUCAAUCCUUAUGCUGACUUCAUUCAUUCUUCAAAAUUUUUUUCAUUGUUUAAAAAAUAUUGUUAGCUAAUAUACAGUGUAAUAUUAGCUUAUGUGUAGAAUUUAGUGAUUUAUUAUUCCAUAAAACACCCAGUGCUCAUCACAAGUGAGCUACUUAAUCCCCAUCACUCAUCAAUUCAUCCUCCUGUCCACCACCCUUCCGGUAACCAUCAGUUGUUGUCUCUAGUUAAGAGUCUGUUUCUUGGUUUGCCUCUCUGGUAUUUUUCCUAAUGUUCAUUUGUUAUUUCUUAAAAUCCAUAUAUGAGUGAAAUCAUAUGGCAUUUGUUUUUCUAUCCCUGACUUACUUUGCUUAGGAUAAUACUCUCUAUCUCCAUCCAUGUCAUUGCAAAUAUAUACACCACAUCUUUAUCCAUUCAUCAGUCAAUGGACAUUUGGGCUGUUUCCAUAAUUUAGCUAUCAUUGAUAAUGCUGCUAUAAACAUUGAGGUGCAUGUAUUCCUUCAAAUUAGUAUUUUUGUAUCCUUCACAUAAAUACUUAGUAAUGCAAAAUAGAAAACCCAGAAACAACUCACAACUAUAGUGUCAAUUAAUCUCCAACAAAACAGAAGAGAAUAUACAAUGGGAACAAGAGAGUAUCUUCAACAAUUGGUUUGGGAAACUGGACAGCAUCAUGCAAAAGAAUGAAACUGGAUAACUUUCUUACACCAACACAAAGUAAAUUCAAUAUGGAUCAAAGACCUAAAUGUGAGUUAGGAAACCACUAAAAUCUUGGAGGAGAACACAGCCAUUUACCUCUUUGACAUCAGCCAUAGCAUCUUAGUAGAUAUAUCUCCUGUGGCAAGGGAACAAAAGUAAAAAUUAAUUAUUAUGAUUCCAUCAAAAUAAAAAGCUUUUGCAUGGUGCAGGAAAUGAUAAUUAGAAUUAAAAGGCAACCUAUGACACAAGAGAAGAUAUUUGCAAACGACAUAUCUGAAAGGGUAAUAUCCAAAAUACAUAGAGAACUUAUAAAACUCAAUACCUAAAACACAAAUAAUCCAGUAAAAAAGUGGAGAGAAAACAUGCAUAGACAUUUUGCCCUAGACGACAUCCAGAUGGCUAUCAGACACAGGAAAAGAUUCUCAUCAUCACUUAUCAUUAGAGAAAACCAAAAUUACAAUUAGAUACCUCACAGUGGUCAGUAUUUCUAAAAUUAACAUACAGGAAACAGCAGAAGUUGGCAAGGAUUUGGAGAAUGGAAAAGCCUCUGACACUGUUAGUGGGAAUGCAAACUAGCACAGCCACUCUGGAAAACAGUGUGGAGGCUCCUGAAAAAGUUAAAAAUGGAACUACCGUAUGAUUCAGCAAUUACGCUAGGCAGUAUUUACCCAAAGGAUACAGAAACACUAACUUGAAGAGAUACAUAUAUCCUGAUAUUUAUAGCAGGAUUAUCAACAAUAGCCUUAUCAUUAAAAGAGCCAAAUGUCCAUCAGUUGAUGAAUGGAUAUGGAAAAUAUGUUUUGUGUGUGUGUUUUUGUGUGUGUGUGCGUACAAUGGAAUAUAUAUAAUGGAAUAUUAUAAAUAUAUAAUGCACAUUAUAUGUAUAAUGGAAUAUUACUCAGCCAUAAAAAGGAUUAAGUUUUGCCAUUUGCAACAACAUGGAUGGAGCUAGAGAGUAUUAUGCUAAGCAAAAUAAGUCAGCCAGAGAAAGAGAAUACUAUAUGAUUUCACUCAUAUAUGGAAUUUAAGAAACAAAACAAAUGAAUUCAACAGGGGUGAAGAGGUGGGGUAAAGAGAGGAAAACCAGGAAACUGACUCUUAACUAUAAAGAGCAAAUUGUUAGUUACUACAGAGGAGGUGGGUGGGAUGUGAGAAAUGAGUAAAGGGGAUUUAGAGUGAACUUGUGAGAACCAAGUGGUGUAUGGAAGUUUUG
rnacentral:lncRNA from 1 species